GACGAACGCUGGCGGCGUGCUUAACACAUGCAAGUCGAACGGAAAGGCCCUGCUUGCAGGGUACUCGAGUGGCGAACGGGUGAGUAACACGUGGGUGAUCUGCCCUGCACUUCGGGAUAAGCCUGGGAAACUGGGUCUAAUACCGGAUAGGAGCCAUUUUUAGUGUGAUGGUUGGAAAGUUUUUUCGGUGUAGGAUGAGCUCGCGGCCUAUCAGCUUGUUGGUGGGGUAAUGGCCUACCAAGGCGGCGACGGGUAGCCGGCCUGAGAGGGUGGACGGCCACAUUGGGACUGAGAUACGGCCCAGACUCCUACGGGAGGCAGCAGUGGGGAAGAUUGCACAAUGGGCGCAAGCCUGAUGCAGCGACGCCGCGUGGGGGAGGACGGCCUUCGGGUUGUAAACGCCUUUCGCUAGGGACGAAGCUUUUUGUGACGGUACCUAGAUAAGAAGCACCGGCUAACUACGUG
rnacentral:rRNA from 1 species